rnacentral:lncRNA from 1 species
GCCCAGGACCGGCCCUGGUCACAGUGAGCAGUGUUCUCACUCCUCCUCCUCUCUCUCUCUAUCUUCUUUCCUCCACUUGGCCGCAGUCGCCAGAUCACAGCGGAGCUUGUUGCUAUUAGUAGCGAGCGCUCUCUCUCUCUCUCUCUCCCUCUCUGUUUCUCUAUCCUCUCCCUUGCACAUGGCCGUCCUCGUCCUCCCAUUAAACUAGAGGUAACUAUACAGAUUAUAAGUUUUUAUACAGAUAAGUUAAUGGCCCUUUCUCCAUUCGAUUUCUUUUAAAUGUGGAUUUCAGGUUGAAGAACUCAUAAUUUAUUAUUUAUUUAAACUACUUGACUCGUCUCUCGACUACAAAUCUAUACAUGCAGUUCAUCCAGUCAGAGCAAAGCUCAAUAGACCUUCUGAUAUGAGGUCAGCAGUCUAGAUUUCUCUGGCGCUGCGUGUCAAAUUUUACUUUGUUGUUAGCUUCUUUGAGUACUUGCUGUUUGGGGAAUCAAUCAUGGCCGACAUGCUUGUGAACUUCGAUAAAAUUUCGGAUUCCCCAUGUUGGAAGAAUUCUCAACAAUACAAUUCGGAUAAGUUAUGCAAUUCAUCUGAUGCUAGUUUUCCCAUGAUGAACUAAUCGUUAAGGGUUAAUGAACUAAUCGUUAAGGGUUAAUGUAGACGAACUGUUCUUUCCUAAUAGACCUGCAAGAAUUGUGAGAUUUUUAUCUCUUACAUGUAUUCUACUUGGAUUCAUUUAUUU